rnacentral:rRNA from 1 species
AUUGAACGCUGGCGGCAUGCCUUACACAUGCAAGUCGAACGGCAGCGCGGGAGCAAUCCUGGCGGCGAGUGGCGAACGGGUGAGUAAUACAUCGGAACGUGCCCAAUCGUGGGGGAUAACGCAGCGAAAGCUGUGCUAAUACCGCAUACGAUCUACGAAUGAAAGCAGGGGACCGCAAGGCCUUGCGCGAAUGGAGCGGCCGAUGGCAGAUUAGGUAGUUGGUGAGGUAAAGGCUCACCAAGCCUUCGAUCUGUAGCUGGUCUGAGAGGACGACCAGCCACACUGGGACUGAGACACGGCCCAGACUCCUACGGGAGGCAGCAGUGGGGAAUUUGGACAAUGGGCGCAAGCCUGAUCCAGCCAUGCCGCGUGCAGGAUGAAGGCCUUCGGGUUGUAAACUGCUUUUGUACGGAACGAAACGGCCUUUUCUAAUAAAGAGGGCUAACGACGGUACCGUAAGAAUAAGCACCGGCUAACUACGUGCCAGCAGCCGCCGUAAUAC